GAGAGAGAGAGAGAGAGAGAGAGAGAGAGAGAGAGAGAGAGAGAGAGAGAGAGAGAGAGAGAGAGAGAGAGAGAGAGAGAGAGAGAGAGAGAGAGAGGGGAGAGUGAGGCUACUUUGCUUCUAAGUUGUUUUCGAUAUUGCGACUUUCGAAUAGUUGGUCGGCUCCGUUAAACUUGAUCUAGAGUAUUUGAAGUACCUUAAAAAAUAAAUUUUAUGAUUUUUCAAUAUCAUUUGCCUAGUGAUCGAAAGGGCUCAAAAUCAAUAAUUUUAAUGGCCGUAGUGAGCCGUUUGUAAGUUUAACGAUGUAGAAAUAUCCAAAUCACGUGAAAUUUUGAUAAAAAAUUCUUUAUACUAUAUAAAACAAGAUCAAUAUCUUUAAUCUAAAAUUUUAAUAUCAUAUUAUCACGUUUUGUAAAAUUUUUAUUUUCAGCCGUUGAUUUUGAGCCCCUUCGUUCACUAGGCAAAUAAUAUCGAAAAAUCGCAUAAUUUAUUUUUUAGGUACUUCAAAUACUCUAGAUCAAAUUUAACGGAACCGAUCUACAAUUCGAAAGUCGCAACAUCAAAAACGACCUGGAAGCACAGAAGGCUCCGUGCUUCCAGAAGCAUAAUACUCUCUCUCUCUCUCUCUCUCUCUCUCUCUCUCUCUCUCUCUAUAUAUAUAUACAUAUAUAUAUAUAUAUAAGUUGAGCUAGGAUACUUUUAGAAGCACCACCCACUUGGUGCUUCUAAGUUUCUAACCCUUGGAUCCACUCCAUAAUUACUAAUAUCCCUUGGAUCAAACACUAUUCCACCUACCACCACCUACCACCAUCAUCUCAACCUCACAUCUCUCUAUCCAAGGGCUAAAAACUUUAAAGCACCACCCACUUGGUACUUCUAAAAAUAUUCUACCUCCACUCAUAUAUAUAUAUAUAGUAUUUUAUUUUUGAUUUUAUAAAUAUAUUUAUUUUAUAAUAUUUUAUUUAUAAAUAUUAUUUAUAAAUAUCUAGUAAUUUAUUUUUUUAGUAUUAAAUAUAUAUUAUUAUAUAUUAUAUUAUAUAUUUAAUUAAUGUAUAAUAUAUUUUAAAUAUUUUUUAUAAGUAUAAAUUAUAAUAUCAAUAUAUGUAAUAUGAUCAUAAGUUGAGCUAGAAUACUCUCAAAAGCACCAAGGGGGUGGUGCUUUUGAAUUUUUAACCAUUGGAUGGAGAGAUGUAGGGUUGAGAUGAUGGUGGUAGAUGGUGGUAAGUGAAAUAGUGUUUGAUCCAAGAAGUAUUAAUAAUUAAAGAGUAGAUCCAAGGGCUAGAAACUUAGAGCGUGUUUGGUUCGAAGUCGGAAUCGGAAUCGGAAUCGAAAUAAACUGGAAUAGGAAUCGGAAUGACUCAUUAUCUAAUUCUUGGUUUAUCACCUGAAUCGGAAUCAGAAUAAAUCAUUUUCAUUGUCAGUGUUUGUUUCAGAUAAAUAUAAAAAACGUAAUCAGAUUAAUAUAUUAACUUUAUCUUUAUAAUAUAUUAAUUUAAAUGCAAACCAAAAAUUAAAUAUUAAAAUUUUACAUCAAAAUUUUGAAAUAAUAUCAAAAUUUUAAAUCUAUGUUUUUUUAAAAAAAAUUAAACUUCGAAGUUGAGUGGAUAAUUCGAAAUAUAAAACUAAAUUUCGAUUUAUUCAAAUUCAAAUUAAAAUUUAGAUUGUGAUUUUAAGUUUGAAUUUAAAUAAAUCAAAAUUUAGUUUCAUAUUUUAAAUUAUCCACUCAACUUUAAAGUUUAUUUUUUUAAAAAAAAUGGAUUUAAAAUUUUGACAUUAUUUCAAAAUUUUGAUGUAAUUUUUUAAUAUUUAAUAUUUAAUUUAAAUUUAAAUUCAUAUAUUAUAAAGAUAANUAUUAUAUAUUUAAUUAAUGUAUAAUAUAUUUUAAAUAUUUUUUAUAAGUAUAAAUUAUAAUAUCAAUAUAUGUAAUAUGAUCAUAAGUUGAGCUAGAAUACUCUCAAAAGCACCAAGGGGGUGGUGCUUUUGAAUUUUUAACCAUUGGAUGGAGAGAUGUAGGGUUGAGAUGAUGGUGGUAGAUGGUGGUAAGUGAAAUAGUGUUUGAUCCAAGAAGUAUUAAUAAUUAAAGAGUAGAUCCAAGGGCUAGAAACUUAGAGCGUGUUUGGUUCGAAGUCGGAAUCGGAAUCGGAAUCGAAAUAAACUGGAAUAGGAAUCGGAAUGACUCAUUAUCUAAUUCUUGGUUUAUCACCUGAAUCGGAAUCAGAAUAAAUCAUUUUCAUUGUCAGUGUUUGUUUCAGAUAAAUAUAAAAAACGUAAUCAGAUUAAUAUAUUAACUCUAUCUUUAUAAUAUAUUAAUUUAAAUUUAAAUUAAAUAUUAAAUAUUAAAGUUUUACAUCAAAAUUUUGAAAUGAUGUCAAAAUUUUAAAUUUAUUUUUUAAAAAAAAUUAAACUUUGAAGAGAGUGGAUAAUUCGAAAUAUAAAACUAAAUUUCGAUUUAUUCAAAUUCAAACUUAAAAUUACAAUUUAAAUUUUAAUUUGAAUCAAUAAAUUUAAUUUAAGUUUUAAAUAAAAUUUGAAUAAAACUUUAUAUAAAUUAAAAUUUAAUUUAAAUUCAAAUUCAUAAGUUAGAUUCGAAAUACUUGAUUAAAUUUUAAUUUUUAAUUCAAGUUCAAAUUAAAAUUUAAAUUUUAAAAUUAAAAUUCUAAAUUUAAACUCAUAUUUUAAUUAAAAAAAUUGAAAAAAUAAAUUUAAUCCGAAGAAAUAUCCAUUCCGUCCGGAUUCAACUUUCAAUCCGGCCUCUUAGGCCGGAUUGAAAAAAGGGGUGAUUGGAAAAUCCCCGUUCCACUCGGGAGUCGGAAUCAGAAUGGAACUCCUGCAUACCAAACACUUACAAACGGAUUAAUCCAUUCCGAUUCCGAUUCUAGGGUGAAAAAGAAGCGAACCAAACACGCCCUUAAAAGUAUCAAAAGGUUGAUGCUUUUAGAAAUAUUCCAGCUCAAUUCAUAUGAUCAUUAUUAUAUAUCAAUAAUAUAUAUAUAUAUAUAUAUAUAUAUAAUAAUUUUUAUUUAUAAAUUUUUUUUCCUUUCAACAAACAACUAAACAACCAUAACAAAAAAAUACUUCUUUUUUUUUUUUAUAAACCAAACGCUAGAGAGCGUAAAAUUUAUUUUCCUCCAAAAAAAUUUUUUCCACGAAAUUUUUUUUUUCACAGUUUUACAUCAAACCAAACAGGCCCUUAGCCUUUGCGACUUCUUCCUCGUUC
rnacentral:lncRNA from 1 species